CGGCGACUUAUAGGUAGUGGCAGGUUAAGGUAGUGAAUACCGAAGCCAUAGUGAAAGCGAGCCUGAAUAGGGCGAUUGUCACUAGUUAUAGACCCGAACCCGGAUGAUCUAACCAUGGUCAGGUUGAAGCUUAGGUAAUACUAAGUGGAGGACCGAACCGACUGAUGUUGAAAAAUCAGCGGAUGAAUUGUGGUUAGGGGUGAAAUGCCAAUCGAAUUCGGAGCUAGCUGGUUCUCCCCGAAAUGCGUUUAGGCGCAGCGGUGAAUGUUAUAAUUUAGGGGUAAAGCACUGUUACGUAUGCGGGCUGGUAAUUCGGUACCAAAUCGUUGCAAACUAAGAAUACUAAAUGUACAGUUCACCAGUAAGACUGUGGGGGAUAAGCUCCAUUGUCAAGAGGGAAACAGCCCAGAGCACCAGUUAAGGCCCCCAAAUAAUUGCUAAGUGGUAAAGGAGGUGGGAUUGCAGAAACAAUCAGGAGGUUUGCUUAGAAGCAGCAACCCUUUAAAGAGUGCGUAAUAGCUCACUGAUCGAGUAAACCUGCGCCGAAAAUGAACGGGACUAAGUAAUUUGCCGAAACUGUGCGAUAUAUUAAAAUAUAUCGGUAGGGGAGCGUUCUGUUGUAGGUCGAAGUAUUAGCGUAAGCGGAUAUGGACGAAGCAGAAGUGAGAAUGUCGGCUUGAGUAACGAAAAUAUAGGUGGGAAUCCUAUACCCCGAAAACCCAAGGUUUCCUCCGGAAGGCUCGUCCGCGGAGGGUAAGUCAGGACCUAAGGCGAGGCUGAAAAGCGUAGUCGAUGGACAACGGGUUAAUAUUCCCGUACCAUUUUUUAUGCGAUAUCGAGGGACGGAGAAGGCUAAGCUAGCCGGAUAUUGGUUACCGGUUUAAACGUUCGAGAUGUUGAGAAGCGGAGAAAACGCUUUGAGUUGAGACGUGAGUACGAGACGCUAAGGCGUCGAAGUAGUGUAUGUCAUACUUCCAAGAAAAGCUUGCACUGUCAUUCAUAAAAAAUGCCUGUACCAUAACCGACACAGGUGGGUAGGUAGAGUAUACUAAGGGGCGCGAGAUAACUCUCUCUAAGGAACUCGGCAAAAUAACUCCGUAACUUCGGGAGAAGGAGUGCCUUAUUUAUAUAAGGUUGCAAUAACAAGAUCCAAGCAACUGUUUACCAAAAACACAGGUCUCCGCUAAGUCGCAAGACGAUGUAUGGGGGCUGACGCCUGCCCAGUGCCAGAAGGUUAAAGAAGUUGGUUAGCAAUAGCGAAGCUAGUAACUGAAGCCCUGGUGAACGGCGGCCGUAACAAUAACGGUCCUAAGGUAGCGAAAUUCCUUGUCGGGUAAGUUCCGACCCGCACGAAAGGCGUAAUGAUUUGGAUACUGUCUCGGAGAGGGACUCGGUGAAAUAGACUUGUCUGUGAAGAUGCGGACUACCUGCACCAGGACAGAAAGACCCUAUGAAGCUUUACUGUAACUUGAAAUUGAAAUUGGACUUUAUUCGCGCAGUAUAGGUGGGAGGCAUUGAAAAUAAUCUUGCGGGAAUAUUGGAGCCAUCAGUGAGAUACCACUCUUGUAAUGUUAGAUUUCUAACUUUGAAUCAUUAUCUGGUCAAAGAACAGUUUCAGGCGGGCAGUUUGACUGGGGCGGUCGCCUCCCAAAUGGUAACGGAGGCGUACAAAGGUUUCCUCUGAACGGGUAGAAAUCGUAUCUAGAGUGUAAAGGCAAAAGGAAGCUUGACUGUGAGACCUACAAGUCGAGCAGGGACGAAAGUCGGUCUUAGUGAUCUGACGGUACUGAGUGGAAAGGCCGUCACUCAACGGAUAAAAGUUACUCUAGGGAUAACAGGCUGAUCUCCCCCAAGAGUUCACAUCGACGGGGAGGUUUGGCACCUCGAUGUCGGCUCAUCGCAUCCUGGGGCGGUAGUACGUCCCAAGGGUUGGGCUGUUCGCCCAUGAAAGCGGUACGCGAGCUGGGUUCAGAACGUCGUGAGACAGUUCGGUCCAUAUCCGGUGUAGGCGUUAGAAUAUUGAGAGGAGCCUUCUUUAGUACGAGAGGACCGAGAAGGACAUACCUCUGGUGUACCAGUUAUCGUGCCAACGGUAAACGCUGGGUAGCUAUGUAUGGAGUGGAUAACCGCUGAAAGCAUCUAAGUGGGAAGCCCACCUCAAGAUGAGUAUUCUCAUCACGUAAGUGAGUAAGGUCACGGUAAGACUAACCGUUUGAUAGGCAUUAAGUAUAAGUGCAGUAAUGUAUGUAGCUGAGAUGUCCUAACAGACCGA
rnacentral:rRNA from 1 species